rnacentral:rRNA from 1 species
AUUGAACGCUGGCGGCAUGCCUUACACAUGCAAGUCGAACGGCAGCACGGGUGCUUGCACCUGGUGGCGAGUGGCGAACGGGUGAGUAAUACAUCGGAACAUGUCCUGUAGUGGGGGAUAGCCCGGCGAAAGCCGGAGUAAUACCGCAUACGAUCUACGGAUGAAAGCGGGGGACCUUCGGGCCUCGCGCUAUAGGGGUGGCCGAUGGCUGAUUAGCUAGUUGGUGGGGUAAAGGCCUACCAAGGGGGCGAUCAGUAGCUGGUCUGAGAGGAGGACCGGCCACACUAGGACUGAGACACGGCCCAGACUCCUGCGGGACGCAGCAGUGGGGAAUUGUGGACAGUGGGCGGAAACCUGAUCCAACAAUGCCGAGUGUGUGGAGAAGGCCUUCGGGUUGUGAAGCACGUUUGUCCGGAAAGAAAUCCUUGGCCCUGAUACGGACGGGGGAUGACGGUACCGGGAAAAUAAGCACCGGCUAACUACGUG